rnacentral:rRNA from 1 species
CGACCGCUGGCGGCGCGCCUAACACAUGCAAGUCGAACGGAGCUGAGAGAAGCUUGCUUUUCUUAGCUUAGUGGCGAACGGGUGAGUAACGCGUGAGUAACCUGCCCUGGAGUGGGGGACAACAGUUGGAAACGACUGCUAAUACCGCAUAAGCCCACGAUCCGGCAUCGGAUUGAGGGAAAAGGAUUUAUUCGCUUCAGGAUGGACUCGCGUCCAAUUAGCUAGUUGGUGAGGUAACGGCCCACCAAGGCGACGAUUGGUAGCCGGACUGAGAGGUUGAACGGCCACAUUGGGACUGAGACACGGCCCAGACUCCUACGGGAGGCAGCAGUGGGGGAUAUUGCACAAUGGGGGAAACCCUGAUGCAGCGACGCCGCGUGGAGGAAGAAGGUUUUCGGAUUGUAAACUCCUGUCGUUAGGGACGAUAAUGACGGUACCUAACAAGAAAGCACCGGCUAACUACGUG